CGGCGCACAGCCGCUUGAAGAAUCCCACCGGCGCCCGCGCCGCCCCCUCCGCGCCCCCACGCUCCGCUCGGCCCCGCUCGCCCCGCGCCGGCAUGAGAGCGAGCCUGUGAUUGGACAGAGCGCGGCGGUGAAAGGUUAAUCCCGGCCCCGCAGCCAUUCAGGAGCCGGGAGACAGCGGACGCGGGAGGCGGAAGCCAGGCGGCGUUUGCGGCCCAGCGCCGGGAGUGGACCGGGGCGACCCACCGCCUGCGGCCCGGCGCCUUCGCCGCGCUCCUGGGCCCGCGCGCCGGGGCCGCGAGCGCUCGCCGGGCUCGGCAGAACCUCCCGGCUCUCGGAACUCGUCCGCCUCCAUCGUUGCCCCUCUGACACCCACCGCCCCCUAAACGUGGCCCUUCCCCACGGCCGUAAUUGUUCUCCCGAGGCUCAGCGCUCCUCUUAACCACCGCCUCCCCUUUUUAAAGGGCCUUUCCACUCGCCUGCUUCUACCCCGCGGUGGUGGUGCCGGGCCCUCCGCAUUUGGGGAGACAACAGACCCCACCCCGCCCCGGAAUAGGAAUAACCGGAUAAUGGGACGGAGACGGGGGGGGGGGGGGGGGGGGGCCGCUUAUGUAAAUUGUCUCUUUGCAUAGGUUGCAACCCUCUGCCACACCUCGUGUCUGUGAAUUAAAGAGUGGAUGGAGGUCCAGACAAGUCAGGAUACAAAUAUACCUUUGCUUAAGACUCUUUGUUUGCAAGUAACAGAAACCAACCUGAAGGAGCUUAACCAAAAGGGAAGAACUGUAUCACCAGGUUGCAGACGCUUCUCACAGAAGCCGGGAGCAGGAAUACAGCUGCAGCAAAGGAGUAGACGCCAGGAGUUGGAAAGCUUUCAGGAACUCAAAGGAGAGUACAGUCGUCCCACUCUUCAGCAAGGAAGUCAGCCGAGCGUGGAGAUCAGAGCCAAAACAAGGAAGCUCUGUCCGCUGAAAGAACCCUGGAGCAGCAGCCCUAUAUCCAGGAGAAUACCUAACACCCAGAUUGAAACACCAUCUUCUGCUAAAAGGAACCGGGAAUCCUUGAAGAAAUACCUGACUUCACGGUUGGGACCGAGAAAGCGUACGUAAGCCUGGACCUUCUUGUCGUGCCAGAAAACAUGAAAAUGCUCAGAGUGAAGGAGACAUUUCAAAACAACAACGUAGUCCGUUUGAAGGGACUCCCGCUGGCCAAAUCUGGGAAAUAGGAACAUCAAAAUAAAUGAUGAUAGUAGGAGAUUAUGUCCCAUGGAGUAAAAUAGAAUCCAUGAGUCCACGCUGAUGUGUGUGUGUGUGUGUGUGUGUGUGUGUGUGUGUGUGUGUGUUUAAUGAAUGAAUAAGUGAAGAGAAAAGAGACAGGUCUUCCUUAGGAUAGAAUGCAACUAGAAAUUUGGAAGGAAUAGGGGAUCCUGGGUGGCUCAGUGAAUUGAGCAUCAACUCUUGAUUUCAGCUCAGGUCAUGAUCCCAGGGCUGUGGGAUCGGGACCCACGUCAGGGUCUCGCUGACCCCGU